rnacentral:sRNA from 1 species
UUUUUGGUUUUUAAUUUUCUUU